CUACCACUUAGCAACAAGAACACUGUUGUUGCUCUUUAUUGAUACCAGUGCCCUCUUAAAUAUCUCCAUCGAUGCAGCACACCGCAGAGCCUAACUUCACUAAGUGCAAAAGGUUGUCUCUGUUUGACCCUUGUUUCUUUUAACAGAUUGACCUACAUUAAAAGCAAUCUGUUAUUUAAAGAUAAAAAACACAAAGUUUCAGUAGAAUGGAAAUGUACAGGAAUGGUCACUGUAGGAUGUCAGUCUUGCUGAAAAGAGCGAUGUGGCUCGCACUUUUCAUCUUGCAUUCAUCAGGACAAACGCAAGAAAACCAGAGCUCAGUCACAACACUUGAUACUGCAGGCAGAAAAGCAUGGUGACGAGAGCUGCGCACAGUAUUCCAUAUUCCAUCUGGAGCCUAACCAGUACAGGUGUCACCCCACCAUAUCUGCGGUUCAUAUGUUCCAAGACCUACCACGGAUGUCUGAAAUUGUGGGUAACAGCGAACUCUAUUAUUUAAGUGGGAAACUGAACUCCUUGGCAGCCCCCUGGAAUUAUUUUUGGAAUGCUCCAUGUUAUCUUUUUGGGCCACAGUAAACCGUGGAUAACUGAAACCAUGGAAACCGACUCCGCAGAUUUGGGGGUUCUAUUGUAUUCUACAAAGUUGCAAAAAGAUUUCUCUGUUCCUGUAUUCUACACCCUGGCAAAAGAAGGCAAGCAUCUGUGCUGGGACUUCCAGUAUCAAGAGACUUGUACACCAGUGUUCAUUGGGCAGUAGUCCCUAGAAACUGACCAUUGAUUGUGAAAAUCCUUCCCAUUUUAGACCUCGCAAAAUGCAUUGCCUCGUACAUCACAUUAAAUUCUAUCUGUCCUUGUGGAAUUGUGGGGAAAAGUUAAGAUGGGAAAAUUGGCCAACUCUCAGGUUAUAAAGCAAUAUGUUUGAAGGGACUGUGAUAAAAAGUCAGAAACAGUAAACAUGACACAGGCUGAAUGUACACAAAUGCUUUCACCUUGGCAAACUUUCACUUUCUCUGAUGGUUCUUUGUAUAUUCUGAAAUGUCGGUUUAAGCCGAAACAAAACGCUCAUUGCCAAAACAUGAUUAUGGAAUGAAGUGUAUAACUCGAUGUUUUGGAAAGUCAAAUAGGCAACACACAUCAAAGUUCAAGUUUACUAGUAUAAUGAUUGACAAACACCUAAUGAUUUCUGUCAGUUGUCAAUAUAUCUUAAGUAUAAAAGUCCUAUCGUUUUCUCUGUAAAAGUGCAGAAACUUGGAACGAGAAAACAACUUGUAUCUCCUCUCAAAUUUUUAGUCAAGCAGCAUGGAGUAUUUUUAAUAAAAGCUGUAUAUUUUCAGUUCAAA